UACGGUCGCGGGAGCGGAGAAAAACCGCUAAUGAGGAAAGUCCGAGCGUUUCAGAAACAGGGUGCCGGAGAAAUCCCGGUGAAGGCGACUUUAAGGAAAGUGCAACAGAAAUAAACCGCCUAUAAGGUAAGGAUGGAAAGGCAGGGUAAGAGCCUACCGCCCCUUCGGUAACGAAGGGGGCAAAUGUAAACCCCACCCGACGCAAGAUUGACAAACCGUUUUAUCAGGGAGUUUCGCCAAAACGGUUUAUAAAAUAUCGCUGGGGGAUAUAGGUAACUAUAUUCGUAGAUAAAUGACCGUACACGACAGAACUCGGCUUAUCGGAA
rnacentral:RNase_P_RNA from 1 species